UAGUAAGGGCGACUGAAGCGGGAAGAGCCCAUGUUGCCAAACCUUCGGGUGUUGUGCCAUGCGUGUCUUUUGUCUGGCCAGGAGUAAAUCCCUUGGAACAGGGUAUCAGAGAGGGUGACAAUCCCGUUCGCCUCUUGGCUUUGGCAAUUGUAGACCGUGUAACGGAGUCGAGUUGCUUGGGAUUGCAGCUCAAAGUGGG
rnacentral:rRNA from 1 species